GAACGCAGGCAUUGAUCCGUGGGUAACCCGGCAGGACGCCGGGUUAGCCGCCAUCAGGCCAUGGAUGGCCUGUGGCGGCGGCCCACGGAUCAAUGCCGGAGUGA
rfam:Pseudomonas sp. ABAC61 scaffold275_001, whole genome shotgun sequence.